rnacentral:lncRNA from 1 species
GUGGGUUUGGGCAGCUGGCACCGGGACGGGAGGGGGCUGCAGGGGGGGCUGCGUGGUGCCGGGAGGUGGCCGGGCAUCAAAGCGCCCUGGGAUGGGCAAAACCACGGCAAAAUCAUACAUAGCCCUGGGCCACCCUGCUCCCAGGACCCUAAGGGUGCUCCCGUUGGGCACGGGGGGGGGGUCGGGGGGGUUUCAGCCUUCCCGAAUUCCCACGAGCCGGGCUGCUGUCCCCCCUGCGGUUCUCCCGCCAGCCCUGCGGGACGGGCGCCUCGCCGCUGGCUCGAUCCCCCCGCAGGCUUGGGAAUGGCCGCGGGCUCCUUUUCCCUCGGUGGCUUCUUUCUUUUCUUUUGGGCACCCCUGCAGGAGCACGGGGCGGGCAGAGGGAGGGCGCAGAGGCCGGGCUGCUGCACGGGGGGCAGCGGGCGGUGGGACGGCGAUGGGCGCUCUGUGUUUUUCCCCCCCUCUGGAUGCUUUUAUGGCCGGCUGGAAAGCGCUACGGGGGCUGAGGGCAGCAGCAGUCCCUGCUGGGGAGAGGUGGGUGGGAACCUCCUGGGACAGAGACCUCAAAAAAAAAAAAAAAAAGGGGGAAAGUGGCUGCAAGCAGCCAACUUCACACCUUAAGGGUGCGAGGAGGAGCAAGGCGCAGAGGUGUGGGGAGCCCAGCACCAGCUCCCUCCGCCACUGGUUUCCAGCACGGCCUCGGACCAGGCGCUCGUCCUGCGCCUCUGGUGCCGCCGGGUGUCCCGUGGACCCGCCGCAGGGAUGCGUUUGCAGGCCGGUGCGUGGGGAGAGGCGGGGGGCUUGGGGUUGAGGUGGGGGGCACGGGGAGCAGGGCGGUUCCCCAGGGGAACCCUGCUGCAGGGAACAAAAACCCACCGCCAUCAGCCUGCCGGCUCCCGACGCCUCCCAGGGGAAGGGACAUUUGGCACCAAAUGGCGCGAGAGGUUUGCCGGCAGCCGCAGGGGGAUUUGCGGUGGGGAUUUGCAGGAGCCGGUCCUGGGGGGGCAGGUGGGGACGGGGCUGAGAGCUGAGCCACUCCCGGGACAGGGGGACAGGUCUCAGCACAGCCUCUGCUCACGGGGCCGCUCUUCGGGGGCUCUGUCGUGCUUCCAGCAGCAUCCACGUGAGCCACGAACCCGGCUGGCGCUGCCAUUGCCCCGCUCCCCUGCGUCCCUUCCACGUGGUGCAGGGCAGAGCCGCUGCUGGCAGGGAUGGAGUGCCAGAGCCCCCCAGGGGCAUGGCACCGCUCUCUGGGAGCCCCGGGGCACGCUGCGCUUGAAGCCAUACCCGGGCAAUGUCCCUAGGGACCAGGUCCUGCCCUGAGCCAUUCCCAAAGUCCUGCUGGCCCCCGAGGAGGACAAGACCAAAUCCCAAGCGGAGGAUCGACACCCGGGAGCUCCAGCCUCUCCCUGGCAUCCCUGGGGCGUGCUUGGCUCAGGACCUCACCGCGAUGAGCAUCAUCCCAGCGCCUUCCUUGUAAUUCCCUG